AGUGCUGGGAUUACAGGCGUGAGCCACCACGCCUGGCCAAGUAGUGGCAUUUUAAGUCUCAGCCUACCAAGCCAAUCUGCCUGUCCCUUGGUACCAGCCCUCAUUAGGACUGGCCUCCUGCCCUUACACACUUCCAACUUUUGCUUUGUGCUGCUUUAUUUCUCUUCUCUGUUUUCUGCCAACCAGAAAACUGUUUUCCUACUGUUGGACAAGCUGUUCAACAGUGUCUUCAGAUCUUAGCUAGUUUUGUUGAUAUUUUCUGUUCUUUCUCCAGAGAGAGAGAGAGAGACUGGGUGAGACUGAGACAUCCUACUACUUGUGUGUUUAAGGCUAAUCUGGCUGCUAAAGGCAGCUGGAAGCUGCUUGGUCUUCAGCUCCUCUUGCAUGUCAGUAAAAGCAAGACACAGCUGGUCUCAAUAAACAGACUAUCCACAAGUGAUGUUUGCAAAGUUAAGGUUGGGAGGUGGAAGCUCCAUCUCCUGACCAUCCAAAGACUGGUGGAUGCCUAAAUCCAACAUAUUAAUACAAUGAGUGCUACAGAGAUAACCAAAGGUACAAUGCUAGAACAGUUACUUUUGGUUAUCAGAGGCCUGCACUUGAUCAAGUUCUAGGCACACAGUACUGACAUUUAAAUUUAAAUGCUAUAUGUAAACUUCCCAUCUGUUCAGCUGCCUUCCUUGUAAAAUAAAAAUAAAACUUGUCUUAAUCUUCUCAGAAAAAUUCACUGCUACAUAGCUACCUUCAAUGUAAGAAAGUAGAAAAAAAUAAUGCACAAAGAUUUACAUACUUUUGUUAAGAAAUACUGGAAAGAAUCAAGAAAUAGGAUGAAGGGGACAGGGAUGAAAGCAUGACAUCUCUAAAUGUCUUUUUACUCAAUUUAGAUUUUGAAGCAUGCAACAGGGAGUUUUUCAUGUUUUUUAUUGUGGUAAAAUAUACAUGACAUUUACCAUCUUAACCAUUUUUAAGUGUACAGUUCAGCAGCAUUAAAUAUAUUCACACUGUUGUGUUAUCAGCACCACCAUCCAUCCCCAGGACUUUUUCUACCUUCCCAGACUGAGAUUGUUCCCAUUAAACACUAACCCCACGAUUCAUUCCCCAGAAUUCAUACCCCACACCCCCCAAUAACCACCAUUCUACUUUCUGUGAACUUGACUGGUACCUCCUAUGAGUGAAAUUCUAGUGUUUGUCUUUUUGCAUCUGGCUUCUUUUACUUAGCAUAAAGUCCUCAGGUUCAUCCAUUUUGUAGCAUGGGUCAGAAUUUCCUUCCUUUUUGAGGUUAAAUAAUAUUCUGUUAUAUAGACAUCUCACGUUGCUUAUCUAUUCAUCUGUCAAUGAACAUUUGGGUUGCUUCCCCCUUUUCCCCAUGGUGAAUAAUGCUGCUGUGAACACAGGUAUGCAAAUAUCUGUUCGUGUCCCUGCUUUGAGUUCUUUUGGGUAUAUACGCAGAGGUGGAACUGCAGAUCACAUGCUAACUCUGUGUUUAAUGUCUGAGGAACUGCCAUACUGUUUUCCAUAGUGGCUACACCAUUUCACAUUCCCACCAGCCAUGCACAGGGGUUCUCAUUUUCUCCCUGUAAUUUAUAAAGGGAAAAAAGCCCUUUAUAAAUUGGAUAAACUGAAAACAAUAAACUGAAUAAAAAUAAAUGGAAAACUAAUAAUAUUAAUAACCAAAGUGGCAAAAUAACCACAGUAAAAACAGUUAUUUCACUUUUGCGCACAGUGCCAACAGUACUGCUUUAGUGAGGUAUAUCUAAGGACAAGAGAACAGCAAGGAACACAAACUAAAGUUAGGAUAUUUUUAUUUUUUGAGACAGGGUCUCACUCUGUCAACUAGGCUGGAGUGCAGUGGCACAAUCAUAGCUCACUGUAUCCUAGAACUCCUAGACUCAAGUGACCCUUCUGUCUCAGCCACCCGAGUGGCUGGGACCACAGGCGCACACCACCAGAACUGGCUCCAUGGUGCCAUUUUUAUUUUUUGUAGAGAUAAGGUCUCACUGCGUUGCCCAGGCUUCUCUCAAACUCCUGACGUGGAGCGAUCCUCCUGCCUCAGCUUCCCGAUGCACUGGAAUUACAGGUGUGAGCCCUCUGCUCCCCUAGUAGUGAUAAUUUUGAUACUAUGAAACUGUUUUAACAAAUAAAUAUACUGUUGUUAAGAACCAAGAUUUCUAGCAUUAAGAGAAACGAGCUACAAAUAUUAAACCAAAGAAGAGAAAACUCUGUAACGUUAAAUAUGAGUAAGAAAUAGCACUCCAAGCUUGCGAUUUAAAAUGUGUUGUGUUUCCUAGCUUUGCAUGUCUUGAGUGGACAUAGAACUAAUGACACUCCAACUGAACUGAGCACCCGAGAACAUGGAUUUGGGCUUUUUAAAAAAAUUUAUUCCCUACACUGAUGUAAAUCAAUUAUUAUUAUUUUUUUUUAAGCAAAAGUCUUGCUCUGUUACUCAAGCUUGAAAGCAAUGGUAUGAUCUCUGCUCACUACAACCUCUGCCUCCCAGGCUCAAGCAAUCCUCCCACCUCAGCCUCCUGAGUAGGACCACAAGUGUGUGCCACCCCACCUGGCUAAUUUCUCUUUUUUAUUUUUUGGUAUUUCUUGUAGAGAUGGGGUUUCACCACAGUUGCCAAAUUGGUCUUGAACUCCUAGGCUCAAGAGAUUCACCCACUUCAGCCUCCCGAAGUGCUGGGAUUACAGAUGUGAGCCACUGCACCCAGCCUGGAUUUUGGCUCUUAAACAUUAAUACACACAUAUGAAAAGGACACAGGAACCAGCCAGCAGGAGUUUCCACUGGCCAUAUCUGAAAUCAAGUGAGCAGCAGAAAACCCCAUGACUGUGACUACAACACAAUGAAUAGUCAGUUGGCACACAGUGAUUCACAAAGGAAGGAUGGAGGGAAAGAAGCAGAGGAGUGAAAGGAAAACACUGAUUUCCACAACUAUAGGUGACUAUCUUCCUUUCAAAUGGAUAAAGGACAGAAUGAAACAUUGACCCUGCUUUUUUAGAAGAAUCUAUGAUGUUCUCUUAUUGAUGAUAAGAAGUUUCUUUACAGAAUGCCCGCUAAUACAUGUGAAAAGAAUCACAGAAUAUGGAAAUCAUCUUUGACAUCCCUGAUGAAAUAAUGAUUUAGGGAUGCUAAGACCAUUAGGUGAAAGGCUGACAGGAAACAGAAUAUUCACAAGGUACCAGUGAACCUCCCCAGAUUACCUGCUGAUGACGCAAGGCAACAGGAGCAUCCGGCUGUCACCACCGGAGCCAAGUGCUGGGAUUUGGCAACUUAAUUAAGGGUCACAUUAUGUGCCUACUGAAGUGAAGGACUACUGAGUAUACAGCAUCCCCCAUAAAACAUUGCUAAAAACAUCUCAUCUGAAUCUAAAGAAGGUCUUACACCUAACUUCCAGUUUAUAGGAAAUAUACAGAAAUAACACCGUAAAAAAAUACGCAGGUUCAGAAUAUUGGUGACUCUGUACAACUGCUGGCCUAUAACAUGGUUCAAAGCCUGGUAAGAAAUGAGUCUCGGCAGGGUGCAGUGGCUCACACCUGUAUUCCCUGCACUCUGGGAGGCCAAGGCAGAAGGAUCACUUAGCUCAGCCUGGAAAACACAGACAGAGACCCUGUCUCUACCAAAAAAUAAAAAAAUAGCCAGGCACAGUGGCACAUGCCUGUGGUCCCAGCUACUUGGGAGGCUGAGGCUGGAGGAUCGCUUCAACCUCAGAGGUCAAGGCUGCGGUGAGCUGUGAUCGUGCCACUGCACUCCAGGCAACAGAUCAAGAUUCUCUCUCUCAAAAAAAAAAAAGAAAGAAAGAAAAAGAAAAAGAAAAAGAAAUGCCAAGUCCACGGCAGACAUGGAUGCUGACUAGACCCUGGUUUGAAACAAAGAUACUUUGGGGAUAACUCGGGAAAUAAAAAUAUAGACAGGGUAUUAGAUAACUUAACCUAAGGAAAUAUUAUUGUCUUAGGUGUGAAAAUUCUCACUAAUUAUGUCAAGAACGUCCUUAUCUUCAGGAGAUGCAUGCUUAAGUAUUUAGGCUGUUAUGUCAUCAUAUCUGCAACUUUUAAACAGCUCAGCCUGACACACAUCUAUACAGACUAAACAUGACACAAUGUUCACUGCUAGUAGAUUUGGAAAUGUUUUACUAUUGUCAAGUUUCUUCUGUAUGUCUGAAAAAUUUAAUGAUAAAAGCUGAGAGUGGGGCAGCCAGCCCUGGCCUCAGGCAGGAGAACAGACCACGACAGGGCUCUGCUGCUCAGGGGCAGCGACCCACGCUGCUGGUCUCUUAGCCUCAGCCCUUCUCUGAGAUGAAGGAGUCACCCAAAACCCACACUGUCAAAUGAUUUCUCUAAGGCAUGUAAACACUUCUCUGAAUCAGGUAAGGACUGGGAUAUAGGAAGCAACUGCAACACAACUGGCCUUACUUUCAGCCAUCGGACUGUCAGUAUCCAAUUAUUUUCAAGGAGUUCAGGCAAAAGCAGAAUGAAUGUAAAACUUACAAGAAAGGGGAGAAGAGGUGAUGCUUACGCUCAUGUUAGAGUCACAUUCUCAGGCAUGACUGUCCACAGUAGUUACCAGGACAGUAGUUACGGUGGCAAAAACUGGGCCAACAGCACUGCUUGAGGCCUGAAACCAGGCCUAUAAUCCCAUCACUGCUCAUGUAAACUGCAGCGACCGUGAAUGAAACUGCUUCUUACUAAUCCAAGAGCUUUUUGAACAAACGCUAAGGGUUCCAACUACUCUCCAGAAACCUCCCUGUACCACUGACUAGAUUCAGCCUGGAGCAAUAAAAAAGGCUUCCCCAAAUGAACAACAGAAGAGAAACUACACUUCAAAGGAUAGGUAAGUGCAGUCUUAUACUAAGAGAUGACAUCUCUCUUAUCUCUGGCAGAAAAUAAAAUUUUAAUAGUCAAACUGUACAACAAACCAGAAAAUACUCCUGGUCUAAUUCAUAAUGCAAUGUCCUUGAAGUGGAAUUCUAAAGAAAAGACUUAUGCCCUCCUUUAGCUGCCUUGGAUAGAAGCAGAUAAUAAAACCAGAGCAGACAUAUGGUUUUCAAAGAUUUAAAGAGAGAGUGAAAUGAAACUGCAAAAGACAGAGCCAAGUAAGACAUGGUCCUCUGUGCCAGUUGUUCCCAAGAAGUCCAAAGACAUUACUUAACCCGUCUUAACUACUUCAGAUUUUCUCUCUGGAGAAUUCACCUAAAACUGUAACUUAUUCAAUGUGAAAAGUGACAGGUUUUUUUUUUGGUUUUUUUUUUUUUUUGAGAUGGAGUCUCGCUCUGUUGCCCAGGCUGGAGUGCAGUGGUGCGAUCUUGGCUCACUGCAAGCUCCGCCUCCCAGGUUCACGCCAUUCUCCUGCCUCAGCCUCCCGAGUAGCUGGGACUACAGGCGCCCGCCACCACGAAAAGUGACAGUAUUUAAGAAACUUCCUAGGCACAGAGAAAACACUGUGAAUGGUAAAUAUGAAUUUGUCCUUUUGCAAAUGUAGGGAGGCAAGUUUCCUUCCACGUGGACACAUGUGAAAUCUACAACUGUCAUCCACCUAUGUCACCAGUGUUAGAUCUCAGACAGAGCCUCGUCACACUGAAGACUACGUAACAGGGGAAGUUCUACUCCUUGAAGGUCUCGGGACCCUUCUACAGCUAACAGCCCUCCUUCCCAUGAGCUCCUCUCAGUCCCUUGGUUACCUGACGUUUCCUCCAGCCUUCUGUAUCCUCAUCCGCUCUUCAUACUGAGUUGGAUUAUGCUCUUUGCUGAGGCUUAAGGCUGCAUGUUUUUGACUCUCCUCAUUAUAACGACACAAGAUUGCCUGGGAAGAUGGAGAUUGUAAUAGUCAUGAAAUUCAGUGGGCGCAGCAUCUAAAGGUACCAGUUGAAAAAAACAGUUAACAAUGGAGUUUGAAGAAAACAGUUAACAAUGGAGUUUCACAUUCAGCCUCCUGCUGAUAAACGUAAGUUCAGAGAAUCAAGCAGCAAAGAAGUGUCAAAGACACAACAGUUAGGGAGAGAGUCGCCCCUGGUUUUGAUAUCAACUCUGGUACAAACUCUGCUGAAUAACUACAGACAAGUGCUCACUCUGGCUGUUGUCACAUUUGUGACAUGAAAGGAAGCACUCAACAAGUAUCAAGGUCCCUUUUGGCCUGGAGUCUAGAAGGCCAGAGACAUGUCCAUGAGCCUAUGGAAGGCAAAGAGGAGGGCAAGCGUUGUGCAUGCUGGCCGAGUGCCAGGUAGGCCGUCCACACCAGUGCCUCCAGGUGUUCUCGCCCCUGCCAGGUUCAUUGUGUCUGUUUUACAGGAAGACACUGAGGCACGAAGAAUAAGUAACUCAAUAAAGUCACAGAGCAGAGCCAGGAUUCAAAUUUGGGUCUGACUCCUGUCUUUGUUUUUUUGCCAAUUUUCCUCUUGCUAUUUCUGAAGUCAUGUGGUCUAAACACAUGUGGGCUAAGGCCAGUCUACUAAAGGGCCACCAGAAUGUAAACUCCACCAGGCAGGGGCUGUCAUCUGUUAUAGUCUCUGCCAUACCCCUAGCACUUAGUAUUUGAUGAAUCAUCCCCCCAGAAGCAUCGUGGGGAGGGGUCUAAAGAUGCUGCUUAAGUGUGGACAGUCACUUGAUUCCUGUGACUGCCUAGGGAGCAAGGAGGCCGGGUGAAAAAGCGGCAACGGAACGGAACACAUGGUCCUGAUGCAGAGGAGGCAGGGUCUGCAUCCAGCUUUCCGCAGCAGCACCCUCUAGGCUUUACAGCAUCCCCACGACUGUCACCAGGGGGAACAACACCCUGGGCUUUCUCCCUCAGCCAGGGACCGGGCUCGGGUGAUGAAUGGCACCUCAUCUGGUAUUUUCUAGCUACAGCUCUCAAGUUACUCUGAAAUCACAGUAACUUUGAUAGGCAGGGGUUAAAGCUUUUCAUUCAUUACUGUCUAAGGUCAGAGAAAGGAAAUAAAAGAAGAUUUAGGCUACUUGCAUACUGAUUACAUUCUGAUCCACAGCAUCACACACACAAACCACGGGAGGAAAAAAGAAACAAAAAAGACGGGAUCUGGGUUUUAAAGCACAAGUCUAUCAUAGGGCGUAAGUUCCCCAGAGAACAAACAGCCUCUAGCUGAGUUGCUGUUCCCUUACCCAGAAGUUAAACUGCAGCAGAACACUCUGCAGCAACCCCAGAAGAAAGGUUUCAACCAGACACCAUCACUUUAAUCUUAUUCAACAAGUACGUGCUAAAGUCUUUUCCCCAUAAAACGUAUUGUCAUCUAAGUGGGUGGCUCCAGAGCCACAUACCCGACUAUCUCCGAGGUUGGCAAUAUAAAGAAUGUUGUCUACAGCCAGAACACACGUGGCAGUGGACCCAUCUUUCCAGGCAGGCUUCCUGGGGGGAAACACAUCAGAAACACAGUCACCACCAAUAGCCCAGCACUUUGAGACUAAUUUCCAGAGCUCAAUGGGAAGUAUCUUAUAUUUCAAAAUGAACCAUUUCCUUGAUACUUGCUUUUUUUCUGUUUUAGAUUUAGCUAACGGUUAUAAAAGCUGAGUGCUACGCACUUUUCAGACAGUGAGCAAUAGUGUUAAACCACAUCAGAAGACUGAAAUGCAUUUAGGAAAACACCACACACAGUCCACUCAAACUUCAUCAUCAAGUUAUACUUACUGGCUGGAAGCUUGUUUAAGGAACUCUUCAUCAGUAUGCUUGAAAGUGUCCAAAAGGCAUCUCUUCACGGUUUUCUCUACACUGAUUACAUCUCCUAUUACAGAAGGGCCAAAAGAAAACAAUCUCUCAAGGAGGGAAGAUUAUCCUCCUCCCACUGUCAUUUUGGUUUGUUUUUUGUUUUAUUUUUUUGAGACGGAGUCUCGUUCUGUCACCAGGCUGGAAUGCAGUGGCGCGAUCUCAGCUCACUGCAACCUCCGCCUCCCAGGUUCAAGAGAUUCUUCUGCCUUAGCCUCCUGAGUAGCUGGGAAUACAGGCGCGCGCAACCAUGCCAGGCUAAUUUUUGUGUUUUUAGUAGAGACAGGGUUUCACCACAUUGGCCAGGCUGGUCUCGAACUCCUGACCUCGUGAUCCACCUGCCUCGGCCUCCCAAAUGCUGGGAUUACAGGCGUGGGUCACCAGGGCUGGCCAUUUUGUUUUUGUAAUUUCUGCACAUCAAUUGAUUUUCAAGCAUGAUUAAGAACAAUCCCUAUUUCUUUCCUUUUUUAAAUUUUUUUUUCUGAGACUGGGUCUCACUCUGUCACCCAGGCUGCAGUGCAAUGGUGCAACUGUGGUUCACUGCAGCCUGAACCUCCUGGGGCUCAGAAAAUCCUCCCACCACAGCCUCCUGAGCAGCUGGGACCACAGGCACAUACCACCAUGUCCAGUUAGGUUUGUUUUUUUUUUUUAUAGAGAUAGAGUCUCCCUAUGUUGCCAGGCUGGUCUCAAACUCCUGGGCUUGAGUGAUCUUCUGGCCUUGGCCUCCCAAAGUGCUGUGUGAGCCACCGUGCCCAGCCAGAACAAUCUCUGUUUCUUUCCUCACAUAUAACACAGUGCUAUUUGAAGUUGGUUUACUAGUUUUCCAGUAAAGGCAAGACACUAACUGAACCCAAAGACGAUUGACAAAAGGUGCCUAUCACUUAGAAUCAUGAGAAGUGCCAUUCUAAGUCACACCUGCAUGGCCGCUACUCCUGGAAGCCUUGGCAUCCACUCCUCAGCACCACUCUUUUAAGACUCAUCAAUGAUUCUCUGCUAAAGCCAAAAUAACACAUCUGACUGCUUCACACAGCCAACCAAACAGCAAUAACCAAUUUGAGUAUCAACUGAUUUAGUUCUCAGUCUCACCUUUAGGAAAUUUUCUGAUUAAGUUUUGAUGCAAAUU
rnacentral:lncRNA from 1 species